CAGAGUCAGUGUGUCACAGCCAACUGCCGCGGCAGGUCAGGGUCUCACGGAGCAGGAAUGGCGAAGGCGGAGACACAGACAGACAGACGGGCAGGAACGUUCCGGGGAAAGCUUUUCGCUUCUGCUAGUUAUGUCGAAUAAACCAAAACAAGAACUCAUUUUGGUUCAAUGUGCAGGCUAAAACGCAUUACGGCAAACACCGGCGAGUACAACACGCAUGCUCUCCCCUCGUCCCGGAAUUUCGUUGGCAAUCACCGCUGCCGUCCCGGCCGCCCACCGUGUUGAGCACUUUCACGCAUGGGCUCCCAUAAUCCCACAAGAGAAGCUCUGAUAGAGGUACGGUCAUUACCCCACUUUAAAGAAGAGGAAACGGAGGCACAGAGAGAGGUCACAGGUCCUGCCCUGGAUCUCCCAGCCAGGAAACGGCUCAGAGCCGGGUCAGUGUGGAGCACGACCCAACCCGAUGAUGCCACCCAGCUGGAAGCCGACCUUCCCCGCCUGGGACUUGGAGCAACAGGCUCCUAGAGAAGCCUCCUAAGCAAACACCUGCCCCCCCACACACACACCCCGUUUUGAUUUCUGAGAAAGAAUCUCCUUCUGUCUUCGGUGAGGUGCGCUGGGAAGUGGCGGCUGGGGCAGGGAAAGGUUCUUGGGGGUCCUCGGCGUGGAGCGCUCAGCCAGGGCUCACGCAGGGAGGAUCCAGGACCCCACCCCGAGGCCCGCCGAC